rnacentral:lncRNA from 1 species
CUCGAUCACGACGUCGAACUCCGUCUUCUCUUCCACCACCGGCGCGGCAUCCGCGGCGGCGCCUCCGGGAGCCGCGACGGCAGCCACGGGAGCGAAGGACGCUGCGGAGACCCCGAGCUUGUCCUGGAGGAAGUCCACGAGAGUCUUCGCCUCCUCCAGGGUGAGCCCGGCGAUUGCGUCACCGAGAGUCGUGAUUUUCUCCGGCGCUUCGACGGCAGAGACGACGACGCGUGCCCGGCGCGUGGCGGUGGUGGCGCGGUGGAAGAUGUUGGGGAAUUGGAGGGAGGGUUUGGCGGAGAGGUGCGUAGGGUAAGAGGAGGGUGUUGGAUAAGAUAGAGAACGAAGAGUAAGGGUUGUUAAAG